AUUGAACGCUGGCGGCAGGCCUAACACAUGCAAGUCGAACGAGUGGCGGACGGGUGAGUAAUGUCUGGGAAACUGCCUGAUGGAGGGGGAUAACUACUGGAAACGGUAGCUAAUACCGCAUACCAUCGGAUGUGCCCAGAUGGGAUUAGCUAGUUGGUGGGGUAAAGGCUCACCAAGGCAACGAUCCCUAGCUGGUUUGAGAGGAUGACCAGCCACACUGGGACGGAGACACGGCCCAGACUCCUACGGGAGGCAGCAGUGGGGAAUAUUGGACAAUGGGCGCAAGCCUGAUCCAGCCAUGCCGCGUGUAUGAAGAAGGCCUUCGGGUUGUAAAGUACUUUUGGCAGAGAAGCGGUAUCCGCAGAAGAAGCACCGGCUAACUACGUGCCAGCAGCCGCGGUAAUUC
rnacentral:rRNA from 1 species